rnacentral:snRNA from 1 species
GUGCUCGCUUCGGCAGCACAUAUACUAAAAUUGGAAUGAAUGAUACAGAGAAGAUUAGCAUGGCCCCUGAGCAAGGAUGAUACACAAAUUCAUGAAGCGUUCCAUAUUUAA